rnacentral:pre_miRNA from 9 species
UCUCGAUCGCGUAAAAGUUAACCCAGAUUUGUAUCGAGUCGGAACGUUUGCCUGCGUUUGCCGCUAGGGGCGCUGUUCCAACUGCAUGCAAAUUUCAGUUAACUUUAACUGUAUCGA